rnacentral:rRNA from 1 species
UAGGGAAUCUUCCACAAUGGGCGAAAGCCNGAUGGAGCAACGCCGCGUGUGUGAUGAAGGGUUUCGGCUCGUAAAACACUGUUGUAAGAGAAGAAUGACAUUGAGAGUAACUGUUCAAUGUGUGACGGUAUCUUACCAGAAAGGAACGGCUAAAUACGUGCCAG